CAUUACUCUGUUUAUUAUUUCCGUCCCUUUAUUCUGCCUCUGUACUAUAGUACCUUCAUUCAUCCAGCAGAAAGGAUUUAGACAGCAGAAAUUUAUUUAUCAUGAUUUUGGAGGCCAGAAGCCCAACAUCAGGAUGCCAUAUGGUCAGGUCUUCAUGAGGACUUUCUUCCUGGCUUGCAGGUGACACCUUCAUCCUGUAUCCUCACAUGGCAGAGAAGGUAAGGUCUUCAGUAUCUCUAAUUAUGAGAACACUAAGGUCAUCAUGAGAGCCACGC
rnacentral:lncRNA from 1 species